rnacentral:rRNA from 1 species
CAGCCGCCACGGUAAUACGUAGGUGGCAAGCGUUGUCCGGAAUUAUUGGGCGUAAAGCGCGCGCAGGCGGAUAGGUCAGUCUGUCUUAAAAGUUCGGGGCUUAACCCCGUGAUGGGAUGGAAACUGCCAAUCUAGAGUAUCGGAGAGGAAAGUGGAAUUCCUAGUGUAGCGGUGAAAUGCGUAGAUAUUAGGAAGAACACCAGUGGCGAAGGCGACUUUCUGGACGAAAACUGACGCUGAGGCGCGAAAGCCAGGGGAGCGAACGGGAUUAGAUACCCGGGUAGUCCCUGUCUCUUAUACA